UCUUUUAUUUUUCUUCUUAAUCUUCACUUGUUUAUGUGCAAUAACAACAAAAGCAAAUGUAGAAGAUGCUAAGCUUUACAUCGUCUAUUUGGGACACAAGCCCCACGAUAAUCAUGAACUUAUCACAGAUUCACAUCAUGAUAUUUUAGGUCAAAUUAUUGGAAGGUAUAUGGGGAGACUCAGAAGCGUUUAACGAUAAAGGACUAGGUCCAAUUCCAAGUCGAUGGAAAGGUAGUUGCAAAUCUGAAGGAAAUUUCAAUGCCACAAAACAUUGUAAUAGAAAAAUCAUUGGUGCUCGUUGGUAUAUAAAAGGAUUGAUGGAAGAAAAAGGACUAAAUCAAACAAUGGUCGAAAAAAUAUAUAAUUUAUCACCAUUAGAUGAUGUUGGACAUGGUACACAUGUUGCCUAUACAGCUGCUGGUUCUUAUGUUAAUAAUUUGGAAUACUAUGGUCUUAAUAUGGGGACAGUACGAGGAGGAGCACCAAAUGCACGUAUAGCUAUGU